rnacentral:rRNA from 1 species
AUCAGACGCGAAUACCCGCUGAACUUAAGC